AUUGAACGCUGGCGGAAUGCUUUACACAUGCAAGUCGAACGGCAGCACGGGGGCAGCCCUGGUGGCGAGUGGCGAACGGGUGAGUAAUACAUCAGAACGUGCCCGGUCGUGGGGGAUAACGUAGCGAAAGUUACGCUAAUACCGCAUACGAUCUGAGGAUGAAAGCGGGGGACCUUCGGGCCUCGCGCGAUCGGAGCGGCCGAUGUCAGAUUAGGUAGUUGGUGGGGUAAAGGCCUACCAAGCCGACGAUCUGUAGCUGGUCUGAGAGGACGACCAGCCACACUGGGACUGAGACACGGCCCAGACUCCUACGGGAGGCAGCAGUGGGGAAUUUUGGACAAAGGGCGCAAGCCUGAUCCAGCCAUUCCGCGUGCAGGACGAAGGCCUUCGGGUUGUAAACUGCUUUUGUACGGAACGAAAAGGCUCUGGCUAAUACCUGGGGCUCAUGACGGUACCGUAAGAAUAAGCACCGGCUAACUACGUG
rnacentral:rRNA from 1 species